rnacentral:rRNA from 1 species
CACGUAGGGUGCGAGCGUUGUCCGGAAUUAUUGGGCGUAAAGAGCUCGUAGGCGGUGUGUCGCGUCGGCCGUGAAAACCCGCAGCUCAACUGUGGGCUUGCAGCUGAUACGGGCGGGCUGGGAUUCGGUAGGGGAGACUGGAAUUCCUGGUGUAGCGGUGAAAUGACGCAGAUAUCAGGAGGAACACCGGUGGCGAAGGCGGGUCUCUGGGCCGAUAUCGACGCUGGAGGAGCGAAAGCGUGGGGAGCGAACAGG